rnacentral:rRNA from 1 species
AGUGGGGAAUUUUGGACAAUGGGCGCAAGCCUGAUCCAGCAAUACCGCGUGCAGGACGAAGGCCUUCGGGUUGUAAACUGCUUUUGUACGGAACGAAAAGCCUUCUUCUAAUACAGGGGGGUCAUGACGGUACCGUAAGAAUAAGCACCGGCUAACUACGUGCCAGCAGCCGCGGUAAUACGUAGGGUGCAAGCGUUAAUCGGAAUUACUGGGCGUAAAGCGUGCGCAGGCGGUUGUGUAAGACAGGCGUGAAAUCCCCGAGCUUAACUUGGGAAUUGCGUUUGUGACUGCACGGCUAGAGUACGGCAGAGGGGGAUGGAAUUCCGCGUGUAGCAGUGAAAUGCGUAGAUAUGCGGAGGAACACCGAUGGCGAAGGCAAUCCCCUGGGCCUGUACUGACGCUCAUGCACGAAAGCGUGGGGGGCAAACAGGAUUAGAUACCCUGGUAGUCCACGCCCUAAACGAUGUCAACUGGUUGUUGGGAAUUAACUUUCUCAGUAACGAAGCUAACGCGUGAAGUUGACCGCCUGGG